AAAACAAAUACGUAGGAGGCGAGCGUUAUCCGGAUUUACUGGGCGUAAAGCGCGUGCAGGCGGUUCGGCAAGUUGGAUGUGAAAGCUCCUGGCUCAACUGGGAGAUGUCGUUCAAUACUACCGAACUUGAGGGCAUCAGAGGAAGGUGGAAUUCCGGGUGUAGUGGUGAAAUGCGUAGAUAUCGGGAGGAACACCAGUGGCGAAAGCGGCCUCCUGGGUCGUUCCUGACGCUCAGACGCGAAAGCUAGGGGAGCAAACGGG
rnacentral:rRNA from 1 species